rnacentral:rRNA from 1 species
AGUGAACGCUGGCGGUAUGCCUAACACAUGCAAGUCGAACGGCAACACAGUAAGAGCUUGCUCUUACGGGUGGCGAGUGGCGGACGGGUGAGGAAUACAUCGGAAUCUACUUUUUCGUGGGGGAUAACGGAGGGAAACUUACGCUAAUACCGCAUACGACCUACGGGUGAAAGCAGGGGAUCUUCGGACCUUGCGCGUUUGAAUGAGCCGAUGUCGGAUUAGCUAGUUGGCGGGGUAAAGGCCCACCAAGGCGACGAUCCGUAGCUGGUCUGAGAGGAUGAUCAGCCACACUGGAACUGAGACACGGUCCAGACUCCUACGGGAGGCAGCAGUGGGGAAUAUUGGACAAUGGGCGCAAGCCUGAUCCAGCCAUACCGCGUGGGUGAAGAAGGCCUUCGGGUUGUAAAGCCCUUUUGUUGGGAAAGAAAAGCAGCAGGUUAAUACCCCGCUGUUCUGACGGUACCCAAAGAAUAAGCACCGGCUAACUUCGUG